ACGACGUAUAUGUUUUAUAGUUCUCGUUGUAGUGUCUCGUUGUGGUGUCUCCUUCAUUCUAUACAGCACCUCUAGGUGUUCCUGACGGGACGGAUCAAGGAGGAGGCGUUCAGGUGUGUGUUUCACUGUGUCGUUUGCGUAGUGACUACUGGGACUUGUCAAUCUAUCGAAUGAAAUUCAAUAUAUUCCGAGUAGGCGUGAGAACACGAUACAUCAAAUGUGCAGAUGAAGCGCGUUCGACAUAGUGCAAACCUGAAAGCUUUAUAGACAUGUGAAAGAGACGGAGCCAUGCACAAGUUUGUAUGACGUCUUUGCGCUUUGCCUGUACUGCUUGGCGACAGCAUUUGUUUAGAUUCCAUGCCUUUAAAGUAUGGCGGACUGUAGAAACAAGCGAGAGAAUAAUUAUUGAUUAAUGGUUGUUUUUACUAAAUAAAGUCCAUGGACUGUAGUAUGUCAUACACAUUGGAGUGGGUCGGAGCUAGCUAAUUA